rnacentral:rRNA from 1 species
AAAAAAGCAUCGACGCGAGGUUCUAGCCGCCCGUACCCCAAACCGACUCAGGUGGUCAGGUAGAGAAUACCAAGGAGAUCGAGAGAAUCGUGGUUAAGGAACUCGGCAAAAUGCCCCCGUAACUUCGGGAGAAGGGGGGCCUUCGACGUAUUAGGACUUGCUCCGAAAGCGUUUGGAGGCCGCAGAGACUAGUGGGUAGCGACUGUUUAUUAAAAACACAGGUCCGUGCCAAGUCGCAAGACGAUGUAUACGGACUGACGCCUCCCCGGUGCUGGAAGGUUAAGAGGACCGGUUAGCCGCAAGGCGAAGCUGAGAAUUUAAGCCCCAGUAAACGGCGGUGGUAACUAUAACCAUCCUAAGGUAGCGAAAUUCCUUGUCGGGUAAGUUCCGACCUGCACGAAUGGCGUAACGACUUCCCAACUGUCUCAACCGCGAACUCGGCGAAAUUGCACUACGAGUAAAGAUGCUCGUUACGCGCAGCAGGACGGAAAGACCCCGUGACCUUUACUACAGCUUGGUAUUGGUGUUCGGUGUGGCUUGUGUAGGAUAGGUGGGAGACUUUGAAGCAUGGACGCCAGUUCAUGUGGAGUCAUUGUUGAAAUACCACUCUGGUCACUCUGGAUAUCUAACUUCGAACCGUAAUCCGGUUCAGGGACAGUGCCUGGUGGGUAGUUUAACUGGGGCGGUUGCCUCCCAAAAUGUAACGGAGGCGCCCAAAGGUUCCCUCAACCUGGUUGGCAAUCAGAUGACGAGUGUAAGUGCACAGGGAGCUUGACUGUGAGACUGACAGGUCGAGCAGGGACGAAAGUCGGGACUAGUGAUCCGGCAGUGGCUUGUGGAAGCGCUGUCGCUCAACGGAUAAAAGGCACCUCGGGGAUAACAGGCUGAUCUUGCCCAAGAGUCCAUAUCGACGGCAUGGUUUGGCACCUCGAUGUCGGCUCGUCGCAUCCUGGGGCUGGAGUAGGUCCCAAGGGUUGGGCUGUUCGCCCAUUGAAGCGGUACGCGAGCUGGGUUUAGAACGUCGUGAGACAGUUCGGUCCCUAUCCGCUGCGCGCGUAGGAAAUUUGAGAGGAUCUGACCCUAGUACGAGAGGACCGGGUUGGACGAACCUCUGGUGUGCCAGUUGUUCUGCCAAGAGCACCGCUGGUUAGCUACGUUCGGGAUGGAUAACCGCUGAAAGCAUCUAAGCGGGAAGCCGGCCUCAAGAUGGGAUUUCCAUGCCUUCGGGCGAGAGGCUCCCAGCCAGACUACUGGGUUGAUAGGCCGGAUGUGGAAGCGUGGCAACACGUGCAGCUGACCGGUACUAAUAAGCCGAUGACUUGAUC